rnacentral:lncRNA from 1 species
UAUGUUCAUGUGCAACGGUCAGUUCAACCAUCCAAACACUAUAAUUAUGAGACUAUUUUUAAGACUUUAUUUAAUAUUGAAAUCUAUCUACUAUUAUCAGACAAAGUAGACUAAAGAUAAAAACAAAAUAAAAGUAUGUUUCUUUGUAUUUGGUGGGACUGUUGAAAAUAUAACACAACUGAAUAAUUAUGAUAUACGCAAUGUGAUAUGACGUAAGAAAAUAAAUAAUAAUUUUUCUGCCAUACUUUCUUUCAGCCUGAGUGCAAUCUCUGGCAAUCACAAACAAAGCCUUCAUAAAAUUAUUUUGUUGUAGGGCUGA